rnacentral:tRNA from 1 species
UGAUUAGCUCAGCUGGGAGAGCAUCUGCCUUACAAGCAGAGGGUCGGCGGUUCGAUCCCGUCAUCA